UAGCCGUAAAAAAUUAAUCCACAACAACAAACGCCUGGGUAUUACGAGUGCAAACUUAAAAUCCAAAGGAUUUGACGGUGUCCCACCCACCUAGAGGAGCCUGUUCUUUAAUCGAUAAUCCUCGAUAUACCUCACCAUUUCUCGCCACUCAGUCUGUAUACCUCCGUCGUAAGCUUACCAUUUGAAUGUAAAAAAGUAAGUUUAAUGAUUAUUCAUCAACACGUCAGGUCAAGGUGCAACCAAUGAAACGGGAAGCAAUGGGCUACAAUUUCUAUAUUAGAACACACGGAAAACUACAUGAAAAACAGCCGUAAAGGCGGAUUUAGUAGUAAAAGAAGAAUAGCGUGCUUCUUUUAACAAGGCUCUGGGACGUGUACAAACCGCCCGUCACCCUCUUCAAUAGCAUACCAUAAUUCUUAAUCUUUAAAAGCAUUUUAGAAGAGGCAAGUCGUAACAUGGUAAGUGUACUGGAAAGUGCACUUGGCAAAU
rnacentral:rRNA from 1 species